rnacentral:rRNA from 1 species
AAACAUGGCUCUUUGCAUUUAUCUUAUAAAGAGUCAGACCUGCCCAGUGAAUAAUAUUUAACGGCCGCGGUACUCUGACCGUGCAAAGGUAGCAUAAUCAUUUGCCUUAUAAUUGAAGGCUAGUAUGAAUGGUUUAACGAAAGCAAUACUGUCUCCUUUCUACUUUCAAGAACUUAACCUUUAGGUGAAGAGGCCCAAAUUUAAUUGAAGGACAAGAAGACCCUGUCGAGCUUAAAAGAUAUUAUAGAAGUUUAUAUAUUUUUAGAUAAAUUUCCUAUUAAAGCUUUUUAGUUGGGGCGACUAAGGAACAAAAAAAGCUUCUUAUAAUAAAUGAACAACCUGGUUUUGAUCCGAUAAUAAUCGAUUAAAGGAAUUAGUUACCGCAGGGAUAACAGCAUAAUCUCUCUUGAGAGACCUAAUCGAAAGAGGGGGUUGUGACCUCGAUGUUGGACUAGAAUAUCCUAAAGAUGCAGAAGUCUUUAAGGGUCGGUCUGUUCGACCGUUAAAAUUUUACGUGAU